rnacentral:lncRNA from 1 species
GAAUUGCCUUUCAGGAAACUGUUGUUUAUUUUCUUUUAUCCUCAUUUAUAGAAGCCUCGCCACAAUGAAGUGAUGUGAUCUAUAUAGCAAAUAUAUUUCACUGCCUGCACAGGAAAAAGUGCUUUGUGAGGCACCUAAGCACCUAAGAUCAUUCCAUGAUCAAGAGAGAGAAAAGAGGGUCUGAGAGGUGCACAUAGUACAUGACAUUUAUCACCUUCUGGAAGUGUUUUUGAGAUAAAUCAGAAUUCAACAUGGAGUGUUGAUCUUAGUCUAAAUAUUUGAAUGUGCAAGAAUCAGGAAAUACUGCAUUUGAAGUUGAAUAUUACACUUAUUAUUUCUUGGUAGGUCAGUAACCAUGAGGUCUGUAAUUAACUCCUCCUCUCCUUCAGCAGCAUGG